ensembl:lncRNA
CCCCCAUCCCCUUUCCCCCUCCACUCCCCAUAGGGGGUAGAGCCCUCCACGGGGGCUCCCCAAAUUCCACAACACCAUCCUGGGCCAGGCCUAGGCCCUCCCCCAUGUGUCCCGGAUGAGAGCAUCCCUUCAUGUGGGAUGGGCUCUCAAAGUCCCUUCUUUUUUUUCAUUCAUUUAUUUAGCUCAUAAAUAAAGUCAUGCACAAUUAUGAUACACAAUACAGUAUGUUCACAAUGACAUUGCUAAAUUAAAGCAAUUAACAUGUUAUAUCACACAUAUUCAUCAUUUUUGUUUUGAGAACACUUAAAGUAUACUAUCUCACAACUUUUAAAAUAUAGCAUAUUGUUAUCAACCAUAUUUAUCAACUGCAGUUGGACAACAGGCAUGGACUCUAGAACGCAUUUUUGAAUGAUGGCUAGCUCACACACACAAAAUGGUUUAAUCAAGUAAGUUUAACUCUUUUGAUCAAGAAAGCAACUGUGUGAAGCUGAUGAAAAUAUCCAUGGAGUCAAAUAAAUGCUAGCAAAUUUCUAAAUUGAGUUGGAGUCAGAUUUUUAAAAGUAGAUCUUAAAUCAUGACUCUCAUCAGUGAAUCACAGUCCCACUAGGAGAUGAGUAAGCAGUGCUUUCUAAGAGCAGUCUCUUGCUGAGUUCCCCAGGCUUCAAGCAAGUGAGCAUGAAGGCACAUUGCCACCUGCAUUCCUGACAAGAUGUAGAUAGCAAACUACCAAUAGGUUCUCUUAAAUCGAGGCAUGUGGGUAAUACUGAUGGUCAGUCAUGCCUAGGGCUACUCAAUCUGUAGCUUUAGAUUAGCUCAGGGCUAAUAGUGCCUCUUCAAACUGUUGUAUAAAAUGGUCAUAAGUAACAGUCACAAAUUCACAGUGAAGAUGAUGUGUGUGAAUGUGUCCUUUAACAGCAAUCCUACAUUCCCUUCAACACAUGUGACUAUGUACAGAAAAGGGAUUUACUUAGAUCACAGCAGAUUUCUGGACAAACGUAGUUAACUACUGUAUGAAGAAAUGUGGUAGACAUUAGACUAUUACUCAGUGCUAAAAAUAAAGGAAGAAAUCCUGUUAUUGUGGUGAGGACUGUCUGCUAAUUGAAAUAACCCAGACAAAUAAGAAGUGCUGCAAGAUUCUAAAGGACAUGAGCCAUCUAAGGUGGUCAAAUUCAGACACCCAGGUUAAAAGACGGUUGCCAGGGAUGAGGGAAGGGAGACGGGGGAGAUAUGAGGAGGUGUUGCUCAGUGAUAUAAAAAAAUCAUCAAUUAUGAAUAUGAAUAGGUUCUAGGCAUCCAUUGUACAGCGCAGCACCUACAGUUAAUAAUGCUGUCUUGUACAGUGUAGCGCCUACAAUCAACAGUGCUGUAGUUUUCACAGGAAAUAUUGUUAGGAAAGUAGGUCUCAUGUUAAAUAUUUUUACCAUGAGAAUAAAAGAUGAAGGAGAUCAGGACAAUGGGAGGGGGCAUUUUUCCUAGUCACCCUCCCCAACAAACCACACCUGCCAUAGUAAAGAAGAGAAAAUAAAAGCCAAGCUAAAUGAAAGAAACUACUAGAAAAAAAGAACAGAAAGCGGGGAUGAGGAGAGGAUUUUUUACCAUGCUUUUGGUUCCCUUUGCUAUAAUCAGAAGAUGGUAUUUUUAUUUUAAACUUCUUUAAUUUUUCUCUUUUCUGUGAACUGCUUCUCUUACUAGUUGCUGGCUGAAUUUAUAUUCAAUAUUUAGGGUUAAUUAGUAUCCUAGGGUAACAGAUUCCCUUAGCAAUGGCUUAGCCUUGACUGAAGGUCAUAUGUAGCACAACACAGAACCCACAAUUAUUUUUGUGGGGAGCAGGGAGGAGCUACUAAACCAGUAAGCUGGGGUGUACUAAGGAGAGGCAUUUCAUUAUGUUAUUCUGAUAAUUACAAAUCUUGGCAGUCAACAUGGCUUGAAAUAUCAUCUUCUUUAAUUUUUCCUGUAAGCUAGUGUUAUAUAAAUACAUUAGAGGUAUGUCAUAUGAUCUACUUCCUUACUAAUUUAGUCAAGGUUUUGUUAUGCAAAUGCCCAGUAAGAGAAGUGAGAAGGAAGGAAGAGAAGAAGGAGGAAAAAGGAGAAAGGGGGAAGGAAACAGCAGCACAAGUACAAAGACAAUUAUCUGCUCUUUCACCCUAGUUUACUCAAAAACUCAGGAUGAUAUAAGGUGAACUCUAAGAUCUUCCCCUGAGUAAAGCAAACAUCUUACUGUCUUUCUUCAAAAAGCAGCAGGUGCAUCAACACAAGAGAAAUCCUCAAAUACAAUACAUUAUAGAAAAGCAGGUACUUAUAUACUUAGCAAGAUAGAACGUAUGUUCUCACCUGAGACUGUAGGUUAUAGCUAAGAUGUUCAGGAUUGAUAUUCCUAAGAGGUGUAAUGUAAGAGGUAUAACAUUUUAUGGGAUGAGUGUGGAAGACCUGUGAGGGAAUAGAAAAGGAAGAAUAACUUGUAUUAUCUCCAUAAGAAAAACCACUUUUACCUUUCUUCACAAUGUUCUCAGGUAUAGGAAUACAAUGUAGGAAAGUGGCAAGUUAAGCCGGUGGGUAAACUGUGUUAUGUUGUUACCACUAAACAGGGGAGGUCAUACUUGGGUCUCAAAGUAAAAAAGUUGGUAUCAUGUCAAGAAAUUGAGUUUUUUAUGAACUCUGAAGCCCAACAUUUUCUUCUCAAGUAACAUAAAAGUAAAAGAAGGAACCAAAACAUUGGAAAUGUUUCUUCAAUUUUAUGGAGAGAGGCAAGACAGAAAUAGAUCCCUAGAAAGUGGUAAGAACAGUCUUCCAAGAAGGAAUUGUGAUACAAAAGUCCUACUUCUUAUUUCUCCUUUCCUUAUUUAAGAGAUAAAGAAAAGGGAGGAUACAAAAUGACUUUAUAAUUGAACUGAUUAGAUCUCAUUUCAAAUGUCCCCAAAGCAAAAAGAGACCCCAGGUUUAUUCCCACAAUAAACAACCAGCUUAGCAUUCUGUGUCAAGAGGAGUGAUGAUGGCUAGAAAUUUUCUGUUUAGUAAGUGAGAGCACUGGGUAGCUUCAUUUCUUUCUGAAUCAGCAUCCCUUGGAUACCUUGUGGAAGCAAGAGUAGUGAGAUGUAAUUAGUACACCACUAGAGAGAGUUUAUAGAUUAAUGGGAGGGGUGGGUGUUAAAAUAACAACUUCUGGAUUCUUGGAUCCAGAAAAUGAGUAUUCAACCAUGCCAGGAAGAUAAAGGAGUCUUUCUAGAGUGAGUAACAUCAAACCUGGGACUAGAGGAUAAAUAAAGGUUAGUGAGAUAAAAAUAAAAGGAGGGGAUAAAGGAGUGCUUGCUCUAGCUAGGAAAACCAAGGCAGGUGAGAGAUUGUGGGAAAUUCACCACUCAGAGGAUGGUUGGAAUAGAAGGGAAUACAUAUGGUUUCAAAUAUAAGGAUGAUACUAAAUGGUCUUCAGGGCCAUGUCAAGGAAUCAAGAGUUUAGUUUGAGGAUAGCUAGAAAUUAUGACAGGAUAUUAUGCUAAAAUGUAAUAUGGUCAGUUUUGGAAUCAUGGCAAGGUUAGAAAUCUGAAUUUAAGCAUGCCAGUCAAGGUCAAGGUUGGUGAUGCAAUGCAGUUGAGAGAUGACUGUAUUCAUGAUGUAAGUAAAAAACUGAAUCUGGAGAGGAAGGUGGCUUCUGUAGGUGUUCAGAAGAAGCUGUACACUGGACUUAGGGAUUAGUUAGAUAUGAAAGUGAAUGAAGAAACAGCAUGUAAAGAUGACCUUUAAGACCCUUCAGCUCUCAUCAACUUCAGUGUCCUACUUUUUGUAGAAAAUUCCAGGGUACUCAAAUGCGAAAACAAUAACAUAUACUUCUGACAAAAAUGUAGAAAGGCAGCUUCAAGUUGAUAAAAGUGUGUGUAUAUGUAUGCUCGUUCUCUAUGACUUUUAACAUUAGGUGCCAAUAAAUCACUGUAAAUUAGUAAAGCUUCUAUUAAACCUUGGAGAAAAUUCUAGGUCCCUUCAAUGACUUUGGUUUAGCCUGAGGUCUGAGUUAUUACCUAAAUUUUUAUUUAUUUUCUUGAUUUGCAAAGUCUAAUAUGAAAGUCUCUUGUCCUCUGACAAGAAAAUCAAAGUUUAGUAUCUGGUUUUUCAGGGAAACAAAUCUCCAAACUUCUCUUAAGGCCAGACUCCAUGGAGACUAUGUCAGUGGCUGCUUGCACAGACUAUGGAGUCACAUGAGGCAUUUUCCAAGCCUCAGUACUGAGUGGCUUCUGGGAACUUUAGAUAGUUGUCAUGGGCAGUUAUCAAGCACUUUAGUUUCCUUUGAGUAUGGGACAUGAAGCAAAUUUUUCCAUAGUUGCCAGGAUGGGUUCUGGGGGGCAGUAGAGGUAACAAUGCAGAAUCAGGGAAACAAGAACGAAGGAAAAAAAUCUGCAUCACCCACCCAGUCCUACUUCCAGAGUUAAGCACUACUGGUAGCUUGCCCUGUAUUUUUCUAAUCUUUCAUCCCCAUGUAUCUAUGCUAUGGCAAAUACAGUUUUAAUUUGACACCAUAUUGGAAUUAUCAUUUAUAUACUAUUUUGCUACCUCUCUGUGGCUGCAACUUCCCAUGAUUUUUUAAAAGGAAAAGAGCUUGGGAAAAACCCUGUGGUUGUACUUAACAUUUCAUCAUGGACAAGAUUUAUUUAGCAUCUGGAAUUCCAUGAAUACCUGCUUUGAUAUCAGUGUACAUAGUUGGAAGGUAAAGACUCCAGAACCAGAACAUCCAUUGGCAAAUAUGAUAUUCACAUGCCCUAGGGGAUUGGAGGGCAUGUUCCCCUUCUUGCCUUGGUCCUCAAAGCAAAGACUGUAAGCUUUUAUAAUUAGGCAGCAAGACAUAAUUACCAUAAGGGUAGAUAGUGUGUGACAUUUCAGGAAAUAUUGAAGGAAAAUAAACUCACUGAAGUGACAGAAAUUGAUUAAAGGCUUGUUUAGCUCAACUCUCCAGUCUAAUUGGCAUUUUUUGUGUUAUUUAUAACGGGACAUGAAUAUUUUCUACACUUUAUUCCACUUGACUAACAUUAAACAAAAAAACAUUCCUUUCAUGUCAAUUGCUUUUUUCCC